rnacentral:sRNA from 1 species
GGUGGGCAUGGUGGCACAUGCCUGUAAUCCAGCGACUCAGGAGACUGAGGCAGGAGGAUAACAAGCUCAAAGCCAGGCUGGGGAACUUGGUGAGAUCCUGCCUCAA